rnacentral:rRNA from 1 species
UACGUAGGGACCGAGCGUUGUCCGGAAUCAUUGGGCGUAAAGAGCGUGUAGGCGGCCACUUAAGUCCUGCGUGAAAUCUUGCGGCUCAACCGCAAGCGGUCGUGGGAAACUGGGUGGCUAGAGUGCGGGAGAGGAGAGUGGAAUUCCUGGUGGUAGCGGUGGAAUGCGCAGAGUAUCAGGAAGAACACCCGUGGCGAAGGCGGCUCUCUGGAACGCAACUGACGCUGAGACGCGAAAGCGUGGGGAGCAAACAGG